CAGCAGCCGCGGUAAAACGUAGGUGGCAAGCGUUGUCCGGAAUUAUUGGGCGUAAAGGGCUCGCAGGCGGUUUCUUAAGUCUGAUGUGAAAGCCCCCGGCUCAACCGGGGAGGGUCAUUGGAAACUGGGAAACUUGAGUGCAGAAGAGGAGAGUGGAAUUCCACGUGUAGCGGUGAAAUGCGUAGAGAUGUGGAGGAACACCAGUGGCGAAGGCGACUCUCUGGUCUGUAACUGACGCUGAGGAGCGAAAGCGUGGGGAGCGAACAGGAUUAGAUACCCCCGUAGUCCCUGUCUCUUAUAC
rnacentral:rRNA from 1 species